AUGAACGCUGGCGGCGUGCCUAAUACAUGCAAGUCGAGCGAACGGACGAGAAGCUUGCUUCUCUGAUGUUAGCGGCGGACGGGUGAGUAACACGUGGAUAACCUACCAAUAAGACUGGGAUAACUUCGGGAAACCGGAGCUAAUACCGGAUAAUAUUUUGAACCGCAUGGUUCAAAAGUGAAAGACGGUCUUGCUGUCACUUAUAGAUGGAUCCGCGCUGCAUUAGCUAGUUGGUAAGGUAACGGCUCACCAAGGCAACGAUGCAUAGCCGACCUGAGAGGGUGAUCGGCCACACUGGAACUGAGACACGGUCCAGACUCCUACGGGAGGCAGCAGUAGGGAAUCUUCCGCAAUGGGCGAAAGCCUGACGGAGCAACGCCGCGUGAGUGAUGAAGGUCUUCGGAUCGUAAAACUCUGUUAUUAGGGAAGAACAUAUGUGUAAGUAACUGUGCACAUCUUGACGGUACCUAAUCAGAAAGCCACGGCUAACUACGUG
rnacentral:rRNA from 1 species